GAUGAACGCUGGCGGCGUGCCUAAUACAUGCAAGUCGAGCGAACAGACGAGGAGCUUGCUCCUCGGACGUUAGCGGCGGACGUGUGAGUAACACGUGGAUAACCUACCUAUAAGACUGGGAUAACUUCGGGAAACCGGCGCUAAUCCCGGAUAAUAUAUUGAACCGCAUGGUUCAAUAGUGAAAGACGGUUUUGCUGUCACUUAUAGAUGGUUCCGCGCCGCAUUAGCUAGUUGGUACGGUAACGGCUUACCAAGGCAACGAUGCGUAGCCGACCUGAGAGAGUGAUCGGCCACACUGGAAAGGAGCCACGGUCCAGACUACUACGGGAGGCAGCAGUAGGGAAUCUUACGCAAUGGGCGAAAGCCUGACGGAGCAACGCCGCGUGAGAGAUGAAGGUCUUCGGAUCGUAAAGCUCUGUUAUUAGGGAAGAACAAAUGUGUAAGUAACUAUGCACGUCUUGACGGUACCUAAUCAAAAAGCCACGGCUAACUACGUG
rnacentral:rRNA from 1 species